AGCAGAGUGGUGCAGCAGAAGUGUGCUAGGCCCAUGACCCAGAAGUUGAUGGUUUGAGACCAUCCUCUGCUA